UCCACCUUGAAGAUUGGAAAUGAAAGAUCAGAAUUCUUUCUUCAACCCAAAGAUGAUCCUAAUCGAGGCAUCUCGAAAAAAGUCCGUGCAUUGCGAAAGAAGUUGCAGCAAAUUGAGAUGCUGGAUGAAAUGAAACAAUCUACUGGGCAUCUUCUUGAUGACCAACAACUUGCAAAGCUUCAAACAAGGUUAGCUCUUGAAAGUUCACUUGCUGAGCUUGGUCUUCCGGUUGAGAAAGUGCAGGCAAAAGCAUCAGUUGCAGUUUUAUCAGAUGUAAAAGGGAAU
rnacentral:misc_RNA from 1 species